rnacentral:rRNA from 1 species
UACGUAGGGGGCUAGCGUUGUCCGGAAUCAUUGGGCGUAAAGCGCGCGUAGGCGGCCUGUAAGUCCGCUGUGAAAGUCAAAGGCUCAACCUUUGAAUGUCAGCGGAUACUGCCAGGCUAGAGUCCGGAAGAGGCGAGUGGAAUUCCUGGUGUAGCGGUGGAAUGCGCAGAUAUCAGGAGGAACACCAACGGCGAAGGCAGCUCGCUGGGACGGUACUGACGCUGAGGCGCGAAAGCGUGGGGAGCGAACAGG